rnacentral:rRNA from 1 species
UACGAAGGGGGCUAGCGUUGCUCGGAAUUACUGGGCGUAAAGGGAGCGUAGGCGGACAGUUUAGUCAGAGGUGAAAGCCCAGGGCUCAACCCUGGAAUUGCCUUUGAUACUGAUUGUCUUGAGUAUGGGAGAGGUGAGUGGAACUCCGAGUGUAGAGGUGAAAUUCGUAGAUAUCGAGAGGAACACCGGUGGCGAAGGCGGCCAACUGGACGAAUACUGACGCUGAGACUCGAAAGCGUGGGGAGCAAACAGG